rnacentral:rRNA from 1 species
AGUGAACGCUGGCGGCAGGCCUAAUACAUGCAAGUCGAACGGCAGCACAGUGGAGCUUGCUCCAUGGGUGGCGAGUGGCGGACGUGUGAGGAAUACAUGGGAAUCUGCCCAGUCGUGGGGGAUAACGUAGGGAAACUUACGCUAAUACCGCAUGCGCCCUUCGGGGGAAAGCCGGGGACCUUCGGGCCUGGCGCGUUUGGAUGAGCCCAUGUUCGAUUAGCUAGUUGGCGGGGUAAAGGCCCACCAAGGCGACGAUCGAUAGCUGGUCUGAGAGGAUGAUCAGCCACACUGGGACUGAGACACGGCCCAGACUCCUACGGGAGGCAGCAGUAGGGAAUAUUGGACAAUGGGCGCAAGCCUGAUCCAGCCAUGCCGCGUGAGUGAAGAAGGCCCUCGGGUUGUAAAGCUCUUUUGUCCGGGAAGAAAAGCAUCGGGCUAAUACCUCGGUGUUCUGACGGUACCGGAAGAAUAAGCACCGGCUAACUUCGUG